UUCGCUUCCUUCUUUCCUUAAAUCCUAAAGGAAUACAAAUUUGCACAAUUCCUCCCCGCAAAAACUUCGAGUCUGUGAACGAAAUCAAUCAUUACAUUCGACGGUUUUGUGCUGAAAAGCAAAUCAAUUGUACCGACAUUGAAGCAAUUGUUAACAGAAACAUGAUGGAAGGGGAUGGCAUUCACUUAAAUGAACAAGGAUUGGAAGCGGUCUGAAACGCGGUAGCAAGUAAUUAUAA